CGUGGUUUUACAACGUUUUCAGAUUUGAAGAAAAUGUCGGGAAAUAUGCAGCCGAAAUCCGAGGAGAGCAGAUACAAAUUAUGACACAAGUUAAGAAAAUGUUGAGCAAUGUAAUAAAGUAAUGACUUUGUAAAUGCAGAGCCUUCCGCUCUCUGAGCGUUUAGAGCGCAUUCUGGACGCUCUGGCCCAGGAGUAGGGUUGAUCUGAGCGUUCUGACCUCACAAUGGCAGUCAAGCACCCAAGCUAACUGGCUAACGUUGGCUAGCUUGCUAGCUACUUGAAGACAAAUAAGAGAACACCUCACUCUGAUAAUUUUACUCGCCCGAGCAGAGCUGGUUAGGCUGUUUUCAAGUUAUCCAGAGCGUUGAUGACUGUAACUGUGCUGCUGCCAACAAUUUAAUUACGAUGUUUACUGACAUAUUCAACAGGUGUUGAGAGUUCGUAAAUUCAUCAGUAUAUUCUGCGCUUUGGCACACAGAUGAGAGUGCUCUGAAAUCGGAGUAGAACUUCAGAGUGAAUUUACAAACGCAACCUAUUGAAUUGAUUGUUCACGCCAUUCUUAGCUUAGAUAAGUGGUAUAGUCGUUGUGCGUUCUUAAUGGACAUUGUUAAUGAAGUCGUAUGAUUUCUAGCUCGUAAUUUGUUGUGCUAACAAGCUAGCAAGAAUUUGCAUAGCAACAGCAUCAACUUCCGGUAGAUAGGAGAAGUGCUAGUAUGCUCAACUGAAAGAAUACCAUUAGUUUACAUUAUACUAAAAUUAACUAAUAGUAGGUUGUAUAUAAGUAUGUAGUAUACAGUAUGUUACAUGUAGUAUGGGUAUUGGAACACAACUACAGUCUUUUGUUUGGAGUGCUUCGUCCUGAUAACGUUGAGGGAGUGUGCACGCCUGAGCACGCAUAGAAGUAGGCUUACCUGACAUGUUACAUGCAAAUGUAGGAAAGUGCCCAUUUGGCAAUGUCUGAUUUCUGAUUGCCUUAACUCACCAUGUCCACCACAAAUAAACUGAGCUUCUCAGCCAUUUUUUCUUCACCUCACACAUUGUAAACUAAGUCUGUUUUUUUUUUACAUCCAUUACAAAUGAUAGUUUCAGUAUUUGAGAAAUCUUUCCAACUCUCCCGGCCUCGAUAAUCCCCAAGCCUCGGUGUGAGGGAAACUCUGAGGGCCCGGAAUAGGCUAGUUGAUACAAUAGAUCGGAUCCAGUUGAUGAAUUUAUGCAAUGUUGCACUUCACCAGUAAUAGUCUAAGUCACGAAAGAUAGAAAGGGAGGCAGACACCGGAAUAAAUAUGGUUUUCCUUAAACCUAUGCUCUCUGCGCCUGACUCCGCACCCACCACUCCUAGUUCCGUAACAUGCAUUCACGCAGAUGGGAAGCAAUUUUAGGAAAACUGUAAGCUUCCCCAAACUCUAAACUCACAAGCUGCCUGUGGUCUUUACUAUUGCACCCAGUUAAGGAAACCUAUACUAAAUAUGCAUUUUGCGGUGUUAGUGAACCCUUUAUUAGUCCAUAUUCCCUAUUAAAUACGGUUGUUGUGUGACACAACACUAGCCAUUCAUUUGUACUUGCACAAUCAUAUGUUAUAAUGGCAUAAGAUUCAAUGGCUCGUCUUAUAACAGUUCCAAUAUGUUAUUUCAUAUGAGCUGUUGGCCUAUCGAACUGUGUUAAAACCAAGGACAAAACCAAGUUUUUGUUUCAUGCUGUCAUUUGCCAACCUCAAUGUGUUUGCAAUAUUUUAUCAAUACAGCAAUUAAGAGUCAGCUGAUCAGAUUACAGUCACAUCUUCAGUAUUUUAUUUACUGGAGCGAGUCAGGAGAAAUGUCUCUACUGUAGUCUAUCCGCUGAUGUUCAGACUAGACAAUAUACGAAAAGAAAAAGAUGUUUACUUUCAUUACUAUGUCAAAUUUCUCCAAAUUACUUAAUAAAAAUGCCUUUGAAUAAAUUACAAGGCAUGUAUCACACAGUCCCAUAAACAAUUUAGGAUAGUACACUUACAAAGCCCCUCAGAAAGUUGUGUCUGCUGAAGCAAAUAAAGACACAGGCCAUAACCACUAAAACAUCAAUUCAUAUUCGAGUCUGUCUUUAUCAAUAUCUUUAUACUGAGUAAUGCACAUCAUUGACCAGGCUUUUUGUUUUGUGUCCUCCAGUCUUCAGUAUUGUACUUUGGAAAGAUAAUAAUCUACACCAGCAAUCUGCGGAUCAUCCGGGCCUAUCAGAGUGAAGGAAGGACAUGGAGACAUCCUCAGCUCCCUGGGGGAAUGGGCGAGUACUCACAGGGAGGCCCAAAGCCCUCUGUGCUCACAGGGAGGGGCAGAGCACCGAUCGACCGGACAAGCAAUAUACUGCAUCCAGCUGCCAGCAUUGUGGAGGUUCGGACUGUCCCCUGCUCUUUGUGCCAUGGCAGCUGUCCAUACUGGCCAACCACUUCAACGAGUCUAUCAGUGUGCUGUGAUGCCAGUCCUGCUACACUGAUGGACUGGAGAGGUGCCAGUCCUGUACCAAAUGACACUAACCACUGGCUGUGUGUGCCAAUGGUACUGCUGCAAUGAGAUAAUAUCACUGUAAUACAAAAUGCUUAUGAUGGGUAUGGGAGCACUGUGUAUGUUUUUGUAAGGAAUCAGAAUUCAAUUUUUGGAAAGGAAGGAUCCUACCAUACAUGCAGCCGGCUGAAUUAUAGAGAACAAUUAGUGUGUGCAGUGAAUAUUGCAUAUGAUAAGACAACAUAUUCACUCUUUUGGUGGUAGCUGGUGCAUCUGAGUCCCUACAAAAAUAACAUGCACCUCCAACUGGUUUCUUCAUGACAACAUGUCAUUUUAAGAAAAAUAUUGUAAAACCAUUGCAUUUUAUUUUAUCCACAAGGCAAGCUGUCCUAUCAUCCCCACAUUGAGAGAAAACUGCUUUUUAUCUCCCAUGUUAAGGUAAUUGAUGCUUUCAUUUUCACUAAGCUUAAUAAUGAGAGAGCGGGAGAAACUGACGGUAAUAAAUGGUGAUGGAGAGGCUUUUGGUCAGCUCUGGAGGUAGAAAGAAAUUAAUUUGUUUAUUGUCGUCCUAAUUCUGAGGUAAUUGCUUCCAGAGUUGUCUUGGGUGAAAAUGUAUAGAAUGGACUCGUGCCUUAUUUUAAUUGGCUCAUAUUAGUCAAUUAAAUAAUCAAUUUAAGUUUAUAGGCUCCUGUCUUUACUAGUAGAAAUGGAGAUACACGGGUUGUACAGCAAAUAUCCAUGAAAGACGUUUGUUGAUAUACAGUUGUUGCUGGAGGUUUCUUAAUGGCUUUAUCUCAGCUGAACACACAUAACUGUAGUGCCAAAAAGUCAGAGCUGGUCUUAUUCAUUGCCUCUCCUCUGUGUGGGGAAAUUGCUGCAUCAGAGCAUUGAGCUGCUGCUCUUACAGGGAAUCCUGCAGCAUGGAGAGCUACUGUAGCUGCAAUAAUUAUGUGAGGUUCUGUCAAAGCCUCAGAGGUGUGACUAAUUACCUCGUUAGCUCCCCAAGAAAUUGUAUUGAUCAAUUGUGUUCACCUGUAUUGUAUUUAAGCCUUGUUUCUUUUUGUUUGAGGGACGGCUGCCCACAGGAGGGAAUACAGGCCAGAGGUAUGGUUGUUUCAAGGAGCAUGGGGGUAAUGGAGUCUGAAACGUUGGAAGUUAUGGGAAAAAAGAUGGACUCCUACCCCCUUUUGUUUCUGUUCAAAUCAAAUGUUAUUUGUCACAUACACAUGGUUAGCAGAUGUUAAUGCGAGUGUAGUGAAAUGCUUGUGCUUC
ensembl:lncRNA